CAGCCAAGAGUCCAUUGUGUC
rnacentral:siRNA from 1 species